rnacentral:lncRNA from 1 species
AACCCGGGGCGGCUCCUUCCGAAGGCUCCACUCCAGCGGCUCGCUGCGGGAGACCAAGGCCAGCCGCCGUCCCAGGGGACGGCCCUCGGGGAACCUGAAUGACGUGCGAGGCCGUACCUCGGGGCGCUGGACUCCGCUCGGGCGCUCCCGCUCUCCGCUCCCGCUCUCGGGUCCCAAUCCCGACGCUCCGCGCGCUCCCGGACUAAGUGCGGACGCGCCCCACGCCCCCCGGCGCCAGCCCGGGACAGCGCUGCACCUGUUGCCACGUGCGACGCGGCGCUCAGCGGCUGCCACUGCCGCCGGCGCACCUGGCUGCACCGCGCGUCCCGGGACCACGCUCGUCCCCGCAGGAGCCCGGGGCUCCGCCGCACCCAGCGCUAGGGCCCAGGCCGGGCCGCGGUAGGUGGGGGAUCUGACUCCUGCUUGCCUCUGGCCACCUGCAGGCCGAGGGGCCUCGCACCGCGGGGCGUAUAGAAGGUGGGAAGGUUGCAGAAUUAUCAGGGCGGAAGCUUGCAAGGAAGGAGUCGUGAUUGUCUCUUAGAAGGGCUGAUUCGCAGUCUGUAUUAUCUUCAUGCUUCUAGCAAGUUUACUAGCAAGUGUGUAUUAAAGGUUAAAGAAAGUAGCUUUCCAGCUAUUAGAGCUUGAGAUACAACGUGGAAAGGAGUCUAGAACCCCAGGGAGAUAAACUAGGCUCGACCUACUUUUCUCUAAACACAAACACAGUCCUUGCUGUUUGCUAAACUGAGCAAAUUUCAUCGACAGCUGUCUUCUAGGUCCGUAAAAUAUUUUCUUCUAUAAAGCAUAUUUUUAAUAGAAAACUUGUCCGAAGAUGCUAUUCUGCCUGUGAGAGAUGUCACAUUGCUGAACCGUGAAAUGUCAGACAACCUGAGAACAAAAUUUUAAUAUUUCCUUUUUAAUUACCUGGAUUGUGGUUUGCUAAAAGCUUUUAAAGAGAAGUGAACUUUUUUGGAGAAUAGACGUAAGGACUCUGUAUUUCACAGUUUUCUAUACCAUGAAUAUUAGAAUAACUGACAGAUGUCUUGCCAUUGAUAGUUGUAAAGACUUUUCAUAUGUACAAUGAUCCAUUAUUUCCUGACUACAAAACCCAGGGGUAUAUAGGUCAGAUUAUCUCCAUUAUUCAAAUGAGGAAUUGAAGCUCAGAAAGGUCAAGUGACUAGCGCAAGGUCACACAGCCAGUGAGGGCAAGUGCAAACCCAGCCAGCCUAACUCCUAAUCUUCUCUUUUAAUUCCAUUACAUAAUGACACCUCUCAUUUGCUUCAGAAAUCCCUGUUGUAAAGAUAGAUGCAACUAGCAUGAUCCGUGUUGUUAGGAAAGGCAUGUGAUUAAUUUUAAAUAGAUAUAGUAUUUAACACCACCAGAUGAGUCUCCCUCUGAAAAAGCACACAAAAACAAAACAAAACGCUGACAUAGUUUCCGCAAGUCACGAGGCAAUUAUGCUAAUUAGCAACAAGCCUCCAUCCCUAAGCAGAAUAGUUCUUGUGUGAAACAUAUCAUUUAAUCUUUAUAACCCUGAUGUGACCUAGAUGAUUUGGUCUAAACCCCACAAUCCUAUUGUGUGGCUUAGUUAUAUCUAUAAAUAUAGAACCUGUUUUACUUCAUUUUUGUGUCAGGUGGUUUGAAGGGGGGAAACAUACAAUGCUCUGCUAAGUAAUUAGAGCUACUUACGCAGGCAUUGGGGAAUCUGAAACUUAGCUUCUAAUUGUCUCCACAUAAAAACAGAAGUUAACUUCUAGGGACAUCUUCAGGGACUCCUCAAGGCAAAUAUUCAUGAAAUGGGGCCUAUUGGCUUUUCUUUUCAUCUUGGUUCUGGGCAUGUUGCCAUGUUCCUGAUCUCUGAACUCUGAUGCUGACCUGCUACAGACUCCAGGAGCAAUAUUAAGGAUAAAAUAAUAACUCACAUAACUUUGUGGCUCUUUAUUCUAAAAAAAAAAAAAAAAGUUGGCUCAAUUUUUUUUCCUCCAUAAGAAAAUGCAAAUUGCAACUGUAUUGAGAAACCAUUUUUUCACUUAUCAGAUUGUCAAAGAUUAGAAAGUUUGAUAAUCACAGUGUUGGUAAAAGUGUAGACUAGCAGUCACAAUGAAAAUGUAAAUGUAAAUUAUAAUGACCUCCCUAGGGGGAAGGUCAGGAUACCUAACAAUAUUGCAACUAUACGUAUAAGAGUUUAUCUUGGCCCUGCGUGGUGGCACGGUGACUCAUGCCUGCAAUCCCAGCACUUGGGGAGGCCGAGGCGGGCAGAUCACCUGAGGUCAGGAGUUGGAGACCAGCCUGGCCAACAUGGUGAAACCCUGUCUCAACUAAAAAUACAAAAAUUAGCCAGACAUGAUAGCAGGCGCCUGUAAUCCCAGCUACUUGGGAGGCUGAGGCAGGAGAAUCCCUUGAACCUGGAAAGCGAAGUUUGCAGUGAGCCGAGAUUGUGACACUGCACUCCAGCCUGGGCAACGCACCGCGACUCUGUCUCAAAAAAAAAAAAAGAGUUUAUCUUACAACACACAGGAGAAAUGGUAUGUAUCUACAACCUUGUUUAUUUCAGCAUUGUUUAUAAUAAGAUAUAUUUCAAAUACAAAUAUUCUUUAGUAAAGGACUGAUAAAUCAUGAUAUAGGCAUAAAAUGAAAUCUUAUGAAAGCUUUUAAAAAGACUGAGAAAGCUCUUUGUACUUUUAUGAGAUGAUCUUCAAUCUAUGUCAUGUGCAUUUUUUAACACAAAACAAUUACCUAAUAGUAUGCUACAAUUUCUACUAAAAGGGAGGAAAUGAUACAAACUUGUAUAGAUACAUAUAUAGAUAUGUUUGUAUAAGCAUAAACUAAGCAUAAGCCACCAGGCAUGGUGGCUUGCACCUUUAAUCCCAGCUAUUUGGGAAGUCUAAGGGGGAGGAUAAUUUGAACCCAAGAGUUUGAGACCUGCCAGGGCAACUUAGACCCUGUCUCUAUAAAAAAUACAAAAAUUAGCUGCGCAUGGUGGCAUGCGCUUAUAGUCCCAGCUACUCUGGAGGCUGAGGUGGGAGGAUGGCUUGAGUCCAAGAGGUUGAGGCCAUCGUGAGCCAUGAUUGUGCCACUGCAUUGCAAGCUGGUGACAGAGCAAGACCCUGUGUCAAAAGAAAACAAAACAAAAACCCAUAAAAUAUCUGGAGAGAUAUACCAGAAGCAGAUAACAUUGGUUGUGUCUUGAGAUGGGAGUUGGAUAGUUAAAUGGCAGCAUUAGAAGAGAAAUUUGUUACUAAAUACAAUUUUGUACUUUUUUUGGAUUUUGAGCCAUAUAAAUAACAGAACCCAUUCUAAUAUUUUAAAAUGUUUUACCGCAUGAAGUUUUGCCAUCAGGAAUGACCAAAGUUUCUCUGUGAACGAAUUUCACUUAUAGAUAAAAUAAAUGAUUGGUCAGGCAUGGUGCCGUGGUAGGUGUAUCACCUGAGGUUCGGAGUUCGACAGCAGCUUGACCAACUUGGAGAAACCCCGUCUCUGCUAAAAAUACAAAAAUUAGCGGGGGCAUGGUGGUGCAUGCCUGUAAUCCCAGCUACUAGGGAGGCUGAGGCGGGAGAAUCGCUUGAACCUGGGAGGCGGAGGUUGCGGUAAGCAGAGACCUCGCCAUUGCACUCCAGCCUGGGCAACAAGAGCGAAACUCCAUCUCAAAAAAAAAAAAAAAUGUUCAAUAGAUGCUUCUGACCCUAUUUCUUCUCUAGUUUAUCUAAAAAAGACAACUUUGGUACAUAAAACUCUAACACAAGUGUGGUGAAAACGAUGAAUUAGCAAAUUGUAAAUUCCUUGCAAUUUGAUUAGCAGUGACAUCUCCCUUGGGUAGGGCUUCCAGAUAACUUUACCAAAGUUGCAUUCAAUCAGAAAUGAAAAAAGUAUUCCAGGCCUUAAUUCUCAAGGGGAACUCCAUGGAGUCAUUGCCUUUGUUCCCAAUCCGGGUCCCUUUUUUUUUAUUUAUGUUUCCUUAUGGCACCAUCUCACUGAGAAGGGAGUUGAACAUCUUUAAAAGACAGAAACAGUACAUUUUAAAAAUAAAUAUUUCAAAGUGUAAGUAUUUUUAGUAUAAAAUGGUAUUCCCGGAAAAGCAUACAGGUAAUAGUAAACAUACUAUUGAGCAACGAAUUAAAACACUGAGCUUCCUGAGACCCAGGUACGCCAACCGCUUACAUAAUUGUCAUUUUCAAAAGAGGCUGAAAGUUUCUCAAAGGAAGAAAAACUUUUCCUAGCACUGAAUUUUAAGAAAAAUUUUUGUCACUCAUUUUCAAUUCAAGACUACAAAAUGGAAAAUGACAAUAUACUAUUAAAAUACCAUAAGGAACUUCAUGUGGCUAUUUUUCAUAGUGACUGUGAAUAAAACUAGAAGUUUUUUUCUUCUUUUUUUUUAAUAGAGACGGGGUCUCGCUAUGUUGCCCAUCCUGGGCUCAAGCAAUUCUCCAGACUUGGCCUCCCAAAGUGCUGGGAUUACAGGCGUGAGCCACUGUGCCUGGCCAAAAAAACAAAAGUAUUGUAAUAAAACUCAACUUGAGGAAGUUACUCACCCAGACAGGGACCGGUCUUAUAACAGCAUAAUGAGAUCAAGGAUUGGCUGUAAAUAGAAGUGUGGAAAGACGGCAGCUUCUUCAGAUAUACUUCUGAAAGUCAAAUAUGCUCAUGGUAAAACGUGAACAUCUCCACAAAUCCCUUACCACAGAGGUAAACACAGUUGCUUUAUACAACAUUCCAGAAAUUUUCUAGUGAGCACUCAUUAGACAGGUGCUGAAGCAUUGUCAGAAGUUGCGGUAAUCUCUGGCAAAGUCCCAGAAUGCUGGAAUUUUGUGAUACUGUCGAUGACCUUUUCUUUGUUUUUGUGAAGAGAAUGUGUAUAUUACACAUAGUCAUAUGAUUUUUUUUUUUUUUUGAGACAGAGUUUCGCUCUUGUUGCCCAGACUGGAGGGCAAUGGCGUGAUCUCGGCUCACCACAACCUCUACCUCCUAGGUUCAAGCAAUUCUCCUGCCUCAGCCUCCCAAAUAACUGGGACUACAGGCAUGCACCACCAUGCCCAGCUAUUUUGUAUUUUUAGUAGAGAUAGAGUUUCUCCAUGUUGGUCAGGCUGGUCUCAAACUCCCACCCUCAGGUAAUCUACCCGCCUUGGCCUCCCAAAGUGCUGGGAUUACAGGCGUGAGCCGCCGUGCCCGGCCUAUGACUUUUAAUUCUUGUGUCCAAAGAUGGUGAGACAUGUGUGGUAAGAUACCCAAACUGACCAGCUGUAGCAAUGGCUGCAUAACAAGAAAGAGAGAACGUGAGAGCAGUAAAUGGCCCUGAUUUAUUUACCAAUAACUCCCAGGUUCUUGAUUAUCUAUUUUUUUUCUCAGUGGACUUGAAGACCCAACUGGACUCUCCUCUUUUUUCUUUUCUUUUCUUUUCUUUCUUUUUUUUUUUUUUUUUUUUUGAGAUGGUGUCUAGCUCUGUCACCCAGGCCAGAGUGCAGUGGCACGAUCUCGGCUCACUGCAACCUCUCCCAUCCAGGUUCAAGCGAUUCUUCUACCUCAGCCUCCCAAGUAGCUGGGAUUACAGGCGCCUGCCACCACACCCAGCUAAUUUUUGUAUUUUUAGUAGAGACAGGGUUUCACUGUGUUGGCCAGGCUGGUCUCGAACUCCUGACCUCAUGAUGCACCUGCCUCAGCCUCCUAAAGUGCUGAGAUUCCAAGUGUGAGCCACCACGCCUGGCCUUCUUUUUUAUUUUCUUAUUUUUGAGAAAGGAUCUCACUCUGUCAACCAAGCUGGAGUGCAGAGGUGCCAUGAUGGCUCAACCGCAGCCUCGACCUCCUGGGCUCAGUUGAUCUUCCCAAGUAGCAGGGAAUGGAGUCAUGUGCCACCAUGCCCAGCUACUUUUUGUAUUUUUUUUAUAGAGAUGGGAUUUCACCAUGUUGCUCAGGCUGGUGGCCAACUUCUUAGCUCAAGUUAUCUGCCCACCUCGGCCUUCCAAAGUGCUGGGAUUACAGGCAUGAGCCACUGCACCUGGCCCUGGACUGUCUUCUUAAUGCCCCAGAAGGUGACUAGCAGAAUAGAAAUGUUCUUAUGCCGGCUGGGCACAGUGGCUCACACCUUGUCAUCCCAGCACUUUGGGAGGCUGAGGCAGGCGGAUCAUGAAGUCAGGAGAUCAAGACCAUCCUGGCUAACAUGGUGAAACCCCAUUUCUACUAAAAAUCCAAAAAAUUAGCUGGGCAUGGUGGAGGGCACCUGUAGUCCCAGCUACUAGGGAGGCUGAGGGAGGAGAAUGGCGUGAACCUGGGAGGCGGAGCUUGCAGUGAGCUGAGAUCGUGCCACUGCACUCCAGCCUGGGCGACAGAGCGAGACUCCAUCUCAAAAAAAAAAAAAAAAAAAAGGUCCUUAUGGCAAAGUCUGAAGAUUUUUAAGUAUCUCAAGAAAGGAGUUUUUUGUUGCAAGUUCAAAGCAGUAGAAAAAAUGAAGAAAUAUAGCUUCCUCUUAUCAAAAUGACCUGCAGAAGUUUGAAAAACUCUUCCAUCUCCCCAUCCCAUGGAAGGCAUCUUCAACAGUCCUGUUCCAUUUAUAGACUCUGUAGAAGGAACAGUUCUUAUAACAUGAUGCCAAAAUUAUUCUAGUUCACACACAAACAAGUUGUCCUGUAAUUCUGCUGUGGGCCUCCUCAUAUUAGGAAGAAAUUAAGAAAAAUAUAGUACCACCAGUUUGUUAUGCAACCACUUCGAAAAUGUUUACUUUGCUUAAAAUGUCAUGGCUAAAGAAACUACUCGUCUGCAUAAUCCACUCUUGACAGUGAUUCAUAACUGUGUGACAUUUGGGCUUGGUCAGGCUUUACUCCAGUCAGAUUGAGUCUUUCCUUAAAAAGGGGAUAUAUUUUCAAUUUCAGAGUAUUUACUGCUUCAUGACAAAUAUUAAUAACAAGUCUGUGGCUUCGAGGCCUCAUACCUUUGAGACUACCACAGUCUACUUAGCAUUUUUUUUUUUUUUUACUUAGACCUUUUGAAUUUGCUUUUAAUUUAUACCCCUGGCCUUGUUCUCUUGACCAAAUAAAAGCCCUAAGAGAGCUUCCACUGCCAGCAGCCUUCCAAUUUGCUCUGUUCCCCCUUGGGCCCUGUUGAUUGGGCCCAGUGAUCACCUAAAAAGAGUGCAAAGAGUCAGGAAGGCUUGUGGGUUCAGUCUUUCUGUGCUAACACCAGGCCACAUCCAGGCCUGAUGUACUAACUGAUCUCCAGUUCAUUCCUUUUGCAAUUUUUGGCCUUGAUUCAUAGUUCCUGAUUCUUGAUUGGCUCUGAAAUCCUCCCCAUUUUCAAAAGGGAUGCAGUCAAGCAGGCCAAAGCGCUCCAUGUUAGCUAACAAAUGUUUGCAAAUCAUAAUAAUGUAGGAAGAGAACCAUAAACUAAAUGAACAACAGGCAUUAGCCCUCAUGCUGUCACAUAAGCAUUCCUCAAAAUAUAAUCAUGCUUCUAAACAUGGGCUGGCAAUUCAGGAAAGGGCCACUGAAAAUAUUAGCCUCGUUCUUUUCUCUGUAGAGUGAGCACAGACUAUUCCUAAACCACAUUGCAGUAUGCCAACAUUGUAAAUUAAUGCCUGAUUGGUUACCUAGAAGUAAGACAAUCUUACUUUUAGGCAUCUAGAACACUGAGAAAUCCAGGAUGGACACUUAACACUACCAAAGAUUGAUCUAUUUUGGGUAAGUAUACUUCUGAUCUCUUUUUGAGGACUGUAUUAGUCCAUUUUCACACUGCUAUAAAGAACUGCCUGAGGCUGGGUAAAUUAUAAAGGAAAGAGGUUUCAUUGACUCAGAGUUCUGCAUGGCUGGGGAGGCCUCAGGAAACUUAACAGUUAUGGCAGAAGGCAAGGGAGAAGCAGGUACCUUCUUUACAAGGCGGCAGAAGAGACAGAGAGGGCAGGGGAAACUGCCAUUUUUAAGCUAUCAGAUCUUGUCAGAACUCCGUCACUAUCACGAGAAGAGCAUGAGGGAAACUGCCCCCAUGACCCAAUCACCUCCCACCAUCCCCCGCUCAACACGUGGGGAUGACAAUUCAAGAUGGAAUUGUGUGGGGACACAGAGCCAAACCAUAUCAAGUACCUACAAAAUUAUGGUGACUCUUCACUAAUUUGCAAACUGAUUAUCUGCAAAUCUUAAAUAGGGAAUAAAACACAAAAAUAUCAUUAUCCCUCCAGAACUGAGGACGCAAAUUGGAUUUAGAAGACUUAGCUUUGACACCUAGAUAUGUUUUCAUUGAUUUGACCUAACUUGAUCUCAGUUUCUCUUUUAUAGAGUUAGUUCUUUAGAUCAGAGGUCCCCAACCCCAGGACUGCGGACUGCCACUGGUCUUUGGCCUGUCAGGCACCCGGCCACACAGCUGGAGGUGAGUGGCAUCAAGCAAGCAUUACCACCUGAGCUCCAACUCUAGUCAGAUCAAUGGUGGCAUUACAUUCUCAUAGGAGUGUGAACCCUAUUGUGAACUGCACAUACAAGGGAUCUAGGUAACAUGCUCCUUAUGAAAAUCUAACUAAUGCCUGAUGAUCUGAGCUGAAACAGUUUAGGCCAAAACCAUCCCUCCUGCACCCCAUUUUGUCUUCCAAGACAAAAGAUUAUUCAAGGUUGCUAUGAACACCUUUAUGUGGACAAACUAGAAAACCUAGAGGAGAUGGAUAAAUUCCUGGAAAUAUACAACCCUCCUAUAUUAAACCAGAAAUAAAAAUAAAUCAGAAACUGAGCAGAACAAUAACAAGUAGUGAGGCUGAAACAGUAAUAAGAAAAAUUGCCAAGAAAAAAUAAUCGAGGACCAGAUGGAUUCACAGCUGAAUUCUAUCAGACAUUCAAAGAAGAACUGGUACCAAUGCUAUUGAAACUAUUCCAAAAGAUAGAAUAAAACCAGUAUUACCCUAAUACCAAACCCAGGAAAGGACAUAACAAAAAAAGAAGACUACAGACCAAUAUCCCUGAUGAAGAUAGAUGCAAAAAUCCUCAACAAAAGGAUUCUCAACAAAAUACUAGCUAACCAAAUACAAUAGCAUAUCAAAAAGAUAAUACACCAUGAUCAAGUUGGUUUCAUACCAGGAACGCAGGGAUGGUUUAACACAUACAGG